GAUUACUAAUGGGUUCUCUCUCACACACACAGAGUCUUGUCCUCGAAGUCUGGAAUGUGCUUUGCUGCGCCGUGAGUUCUGCCUCCCCGGAUCGUAUUCCUGUGGCCCGUGUCUCCCUCAGUUCAUCGAGGAUGAAGACGGCCAAUGCAUCCCCAAGGCACGGGCGGCCAGCGGGCGAGCCAGUGCUCCCAACCUAGAGGAAGAAGUUGAUUUAGUGGCAGAUGCGCUGUCCAAACAGAAUAAUGCACUCCAGGAUGAAUCCCCAGCCCCCACAGGCAAGCACCCAGGAUCGGUGCGUCGAAGUCAGUGUCCUCGCCAAAGGGACAGGCAAGACGCCCUCCUGCAACACCUUCCCUUCGCACAGAAGCAGUCAAAAGUACUCCAGUGAAAACCUCACUCUCGUCAAAUGACGCUCUCAUUCUGGGGAUGAUAGUCGUGUGUACAGCUGCAGGAAUCGCAGCUCUGGUGGUGGCAGCUGUGUGCUGGUGCAGGCUGCAAAAGGAAAUACGCCUUGCUCAGAAAGCAGACUACCCAGUUCAGAAACUCCCGGGCCCUCCAUCGUAUGACAAGAUCUCAGUAUGUCCUUUCCUCUUUGAUGCCUGUUU